UGAACGCUAGCGGUCAGGCCUAAUACAUGCAAGUCGGACGGGAUUCAGGGAGUGGCUUGCUACAAGCUGAUGAGAGUGGCGCACGGGUGCGUAACGCGUGAGCAACCUUACCCAUAUCAGGGGGAUAGCCUCUCGAAAGAGAGAUUAACACCGCAUAACAUCAUUUACCGGCAUCGGAUUAUGAUCAAAUAUUUAUAGGAUAUGGAUGGGCUCGCGUGACAUUAGCUAAGUUGGAGGGGUAACGGCCCACCAAGGCUACGAUGUCUAGGGGUCUCUGAGAGGAGAAUCCCCCACACUGGUACUGAGACACGGACCAGACGUCCUACGGGGAGGCAGCAGUAAGGAAUAUUGGUCAAUGGAGGGAACUCUGAACCAGCCAUGCCGCGUGCAGGAUGACUGCCCUAUGGGUUGUAAACUGCUUUUGUCAGGGAAUAAACCUUUCUACGUGUAGGAAGCUGAAU
rnacentral:rRNA from 1 species